CAAGAAGGACCGUCGUCUCCUUUUCCCAGCGUCCAUUAAUCGAUGAAUUUGGAAAGUCAGCUCCAAUAAUCUUCUAUUCCCACAAAAUCACUUACCCAGAUAGGACCAUUGGAGGAACUGGUCAGUCAAAGUUGCACUAGAGUCUCGCUAUCUUUCGUUUUUGGAUUCUUCUUUUUUCUUCAUUUUCCUUUAAUUUUUUAUUCUAUCACACUGAAAGAGUAAUUUCCAAAGCAUAAUUGGCUUGAUGUUCGUGGAAAGGAAGAUGAUUGCAGUAGAUUGAUAGUAGGGGUGGCAAACGGACGGGACGGGUCGGGUCGGAUAUGAGCCGGUCAAAAUAGGUAAUUCAAAAAACAAAUAAAUUAUCUGACCCAACCCGUAUUUGUGAGUUAAUAAACAAUGACUUAUCCGGCGAAUAAUAUCACUUCUUGAAUAUGAUCUC
rnacentral:lncRNA from 1 species